rnacentral:rRNA from 1 species
CUGGCUCAGAUUGAACGCUGGCGGCAUGCUUUACACAUGCAAGUCGAACGGCAGCGCGGGCUUCGGCCU